rnacentral:piRNA from 1 species
UAACACAAAGUUCGACAUUGC